UCCAGGGGCUUUAACCGCGAGCGAUUCAAGGGGCCGUGCUCAUGGCUCGCAAGCGUUCGCUUGCCGGUGCUCAUGGUUCUCUUCCCAAGUUCUAUCGAGUCUCCAUAGCGUGUGCACCGGUCGUGGCUCUUUUGGUUACGUUCAAGCCUUGACCAGCGCCUGCAGAUACGGUGCAGUUCCUUACGGGCACAUGUUGGAACGGAAAUAAAGAGUUCAAUGGUGGCUAAGCAGCCAUAUUUUUCAACAGUUGUGUGCUCAUCAAUCAAACUUAAGCAAUUUUACUCUUUCACGGAACCACAAGGCCUGCUGGCUUCCAUUGUUUUUGUCUAGUCAAGGUAAGUCGCAUGGUUGCAAGCCAGAGCCUGAAUGUAUGCUUAUUUGGUCGCUUUGUUUAUGUGCGUGCACAAUCUCUGCAUUGUUUCCAUACUUUUGGCAUUUGACCAUGUGUAUGCUGCUACAAAUUUGUUGAUGUUGCUGUAGGGCAUAUGUUCUGCAAACAGAUGAACAGCGGCCAAACGGUGUUUGUUUCGCACAGUUUCAUGCACACCUAAUUAAUCUUAAGGUAAACCUGUAGGAGCAUGCAAGGCUUGACUGUUCUGUUAAGUGGCUUCUUUUGAUUUCUAUGCAC